rnacentral:rRNA from 1 species
GACGAACGCUGGCGGCGUGCUUAACACAUGCAAGUCGUACGGUAAGGCCCUUUCGGGGGUACACGAGUGGCGAACGGGUGAGUAACACGUGCGUAACCUGCCCACAACUUUGGGAUAACGCUAGGAAACUGGUGCUAAUACUGGAUAUGUGCUCCUGCUGCAUGGUGGGGGUUGGAAAGCUCCGGCGGUUGUGGAUGGACUCGCGGCCUAUCAGCUUGUUGGUGGGGUAGUGGCCUACCAAGGCGGCGACGGGUAGCCGGCCUGAGAGGGUGACCGGCCACAUUGGGACUGAGAGACGGCCCAGACUCCUACGGGAGGCAGCAGUGGGGAAUAUUGCACAAUGGGCGCAAGCCUGAUGCAGCAACGCCGCGUGCGGGAGGACGGCCUUCGGGUUGUAAACCGCUUUCAGCAGGGACGAAGCUUUUUGUGACGGUACCUGCAGAAGAAGCACCGGCUAACUACGUG